GACGAACGCUGGCGGCGUGCUUAACACAUGCAAGUCGAACGAUGAACCCGGAGCUUGCUCCGGUGGAUUAGUGGCGAACGGGUGAGUAACACGUGAGUAACCUGCCCUUGACUCUGGGAUAACUGCGGGAAACUGUAGCUAAUACCGGCUACGACCCUCGGCGGCAUCGCCAGGGGGUGGAAAGAAUUUCGGUGAAGGAUGGACUCGAGGCCUAUCAGCUAGUUGGUGAGGUAACGGCUCACAAAGGCGACCACGGGUAGCCGGCCUGAGAGGGUACCCGGCCACACUGGGACUGCGACACGGCCCAGACUCCUACGGGAGGCAGCAGUGGGGAAUAUUGCACAUUGGGCGCAAGCCUGAUGCAGCAACGCCGCGUGAGGGAUGACGGCCUUCGGGUUGUAGACCUCUUUUAGUAGGGAAGAAGCGAAAGUGACGGUACCUGCAGAAAAAGCACCGGCUAACUACGUGCCAGCCGCCGCCGUAA
rnacentral:rRNA from 1 species